CAGGAAGGAAGGGCAGGCAGCAGCUGUCCCCAUUGUCCUGAGCCACCUUACAGCCCAGGAUACAAGGGAGAAACGUUGCACAAAGACCUAGAGAUGCCGCAGUCUUCACAGCAGUCGCACACAUUUGAACUCCAAUCUGACAAUCCGGAGGACACCGUGUACUGUGUGACUGUUACCUGAGGCUGCGAGCUAAUCACAUUUGACUGGAAUGCCAUUGCUGUCACAUCAGAAAGGCACCUAAACAAGCCAAAAAGGCAUCUGAGUUUCCCAAGUAAGUCCCAAGUGUGGUAUUAUGGACACAUCUUUUUCCCCUUAAAUAGGCACUUUCGAAAAGUAAGAUGAGCAAGCAUGGUCUUCCUUCCACACCUCCAUGUGGUCACCAGAUUACAUGCAGACAUGCUGUACACGAGACUGACUUAAACAAUAUGAUUCUGUGCGGUAUUGCACUUUUCAUCAUACAAACAAGUUGAAUAUGACAGACUGAAGCAAAACAUCAGUGAUGUUGCACAAUAAUAGAAUUUACCAGAAGACCUUCAGUCGGGACAGAAGUAACCGCAAGAGUGUUCAGUUCCUCACACAUUUAAUACAUUAGUUGUUUUUGAAAAGAAAUCGUGUAGUUAUACUGAAAGGACAAUUUAGGACAUUCUGUCCAUCCUAUCUCUCUCUGGUCUGUGGAAGGACUUUUGUCUCUCUCUACAGCGCUGACGUGUUUGCUCAUAUCAGACAUCUGCAGGAAAGUGUCAAAUCACAAUCAAGAAUAAUUUAACAGGUUCAAGCUGCUUUAACAGAGCAUAAGAGAGAUUUAAAUGUAUUUGUUUUUACUACCAGUGUACUCUUGCAUGAUACCAUUUGAGUUUUUAGUUUGUCCAAAGCAUCUCUAAUAAUAAGCACUAAGUUGUAAUCUUCAUGUUUGCCAUGCAAUAGUCUAUGUCGUUAACUUUAACCGCAUAGAUGAAAACAAUGAUGAAUUAAUUUCCUGUUGUGUUCUAUGGAAGUGCCUUCAAUUUUGUAUAUUUAGUAUGUCACAUCAGCCCCUCAUUUUCUUCUUUACAAGAUCUCAGACGGUAAGCCAUGUCCUGAUUAUGAUUUACUGUGAAAUAAGUUCAUUAUUAUAAACUAAUUUCUUUGUUUUAUUCAACGUCUACUGCACAUAAAUAGAGCUCUAUUUUUCACUUGGUCAAAGUUUUAGUAUUUAUUUACUAUUAAACAAUUUUGUUUUGUAAAAUUCUGAGAUUUGUAAAAUAUGCAACAAUCAAAUAAUGCUCCUGAGCGACUUCAUCAAGUUACUACAAUAUAGUCUGGGUGUAAUGCUUAACAUCUUGACAUAAACAGAACGUGAAGAACGUGGU